rnacentral:rRNA from 1 species
CACCUGCACUAUUUUGACGUUUACCUACAGAAGAAGCACCGGCUAACUCCGUGCCAGCAGCCGCGGUAAUACGGAGGGUGCGAGCGUUUAAUCGGAAUUACUGGGCGUUAAAGCGCAUGCAGGCGGCCUGUUAAGUCAGAUGUGAAAGCCCGGGGCUUAACCUCGGAAUUGCAUUUUGAAAACUGGCAGGCUAGAGUCUUGUAGAGGGGGUAGAAUUUCAGGUGUAGCGGUGAAAAUGCGUAGAGAUCUGAAGGAAUACCAGUGGCGAAGGCGGCCCCCUGGACAAAGACUGACGCUCAGAUGCGAAAGCGUGGGGAGCAAACAGGAUUAGAUACCCUGGUAG